CAGAGAACCAGGUCAGUGAGCAGCCCCGGGUGUGAGUGGGAAGGUGGUGGGGAUGGCGGAGAGUGGGGAUGAGAAAUUUGCCAAAGCUGAACUUCAUGACCGCUUGAUUCGUAAAGGGGAACUUCUGAGACCCUGAAAGUCAUGCCUGGGGGCCACCUGCAAGAGCAAGGCUUAGGGACGAGAGUGCCCUCUGAGUGCAUGGGAGAAAAGGACGAACUGAACUCCUCUUCCCAAAUAGUUGCCAAUAAAACAACACUCUUCUCAAAUAACCUAAAGAGAAAGAUCACAAGGAAAAUUAAGAAAUAUUUUCAACUGAAUAAGGAAAGUAUAACAUAUCAAAAUUUGUGAGAUAUACACAAAGCAGUUUUUAUAUUAUAUGCUCAUAUUGACAGAGGGAAAAAAGCUUAAUAUCAAUUAUCUAAGCUUUUGCCUUAAGAACCUGGAAAAAAGAAGAGCAAAUUAAACCCAAAAUUAGUAGAAGAAAGGAAAUAGUAAAGAUAAGAGCAGAGAUCAAUGAAGUAGAAAACAAGCAAUAGAGAAAAUCAACAAAACCAAAAGUAUGGUGUUUGAAAAAUGAAUAAAAUUAAUAAAUUCCUAGCAAGAAAAUUGCAUCAGGAAUGAAAGAAGAGACAUCUCUAUGGAUCUCAUAAAAAUUAAACGGAUAAAAAGACUUCCACUUCCAGGAAGCUAGAUCAGAUGUACAUUCUCUAUUUCUUUCACUAAGUAGUACUAAAAACCCUGGAAAUUAUGUAUAAAACAAACAUGAGAAGAUUCUGAAAGAAGGCAGGUCAGUUGCAGGCCUCUACAGGGACCUGAAGAAUGACACGAGGUGUUUGCUGUUUCCUUUUAUGCCUUGUAGUCCCCAGACUGGAUGCUGGAGAGGCCAGAAAUGCUAAUGGACACACUCAAAAAGAGCUCCAACAGAGCCUGCUCUCCCUAGUCAAAGGCCCAGGAAAAGGGCAGCCAGCACCACAGACACACACACACACACACACACACACACACACACACACUGUGGUCCCACCCCUCCCAUCACAGCCAAGACUGAGUGGUGAACCUUCACUUCCCACCCUUACAAGGCUGUAAGAAGAUGCCCCAAACCCUCGCUGGGGUGGUGUCAGGGGCUGAGUAGGGACCUGGGACUUUCAUCCCUGCUGGGCAUUAACAAACCCUCCCCCCAAAGCUAUGUCACUGGAGACCACAUGAGGAACAAGGACUUCCAUCCCUAAAAAGCGGUAACAAGAUGCUCAUUUUACCUGCCACUGGGCUGAUGACGGAGGAGACCUAGUGGAAAGGCAGUUGUAUCGAGGCCAAACGCCCCCACCUCUUGGUGUAAGUGUCAGCCAUGUGGGCAGCAGUAACCAGACACUGCUACCCCUUCCAUCCAAGAAGGGACCAGAGGAAGCUAGUGAGGAGCAGGAGCUCACACCCCUUCUCAGCAGUAACAGGGACCCUCCCUACACACUUUGGGUUUCAACAGAGGCUGAGUAGAGAACCCAGACUUCUCCCCAACCUGGCAGUAAUUAGGUGGUGUCCACCGCCCCUUCCCCUGCUGGAGACGUACCAGAGAAAAUCAAGUAAAAGAAGGUUUAGAUAAGAUCCAGAAUCUCAUAAUACAAUACCCAAAACGUCUGUACUUCAUUAAAAAAUUGUUUCUCCUACCAAGAACUAGGAAGAUCUCAAAUUGAAUAAAAAAGACAAUAUAUAGCAACAUCAAUGAGACAGAGAAGCUAGAAUUAUCUGGCAAAGACUUUAAAGAAGCCAUCAUAAAAAUGCUCCAACGAGAAAUUACAGACUCAAACAAAUUUAAAAAAAUAGAAAAUCUCAGCAGAGAAAUAGGAGCUAUAAAGAAGAACAUAAUGGAAAUUUUAGAAAUGAAAAAUACAGAUAAAAAAAUCAAUCCCAAAAGGUUAAUACAGGUAUGAUUCUAUUUAUAUAACAUUCUUGAAGUGACAAAAUUAUAGAAAGGGAAAACAGUUUAGUGCUGACAGAGUUUAAGUGGGGAGAAGUAGAAAGUGUGUCUGUGAAAGAGCAACAUGAGGGAUCCUUGUGGAGACGGAAUGUUCUGUGUCUCGACUCUAUCCAUAUCAAUAUCCUGGCUGUGAUACUGUAGCAUAGUUUUGCACGAUCUGACCACUGGGGGAAAGUGGAUAAAGUGUACAGGAGCUCUCUACAUAAUUUCUUAAAAUGACAUGUGAAGAUAUAGCUAUCUGAAAAUAAACAAGUUAAAAAAAACAAGGCAUUCAACCUAAUAAAAUAUGAUUUUUGUAAAAAUUCAAUAAGAGAAUAUGCAAACUUUAUGCCAAUAAAUUUGACCCCUCAGAUACAAUGAACAAAUUCCUUGAAAGACAGAACUCACCACACCUGACGCAAGAAGAUAUAGAAAGUCUGGAUAGGUCUGUGACUGUUCUUUGAAAACUAAAUUCAUAGUCAAAAACCUUUCCACGAAGAAAGCUCUAGAGUCGGCUGGAUUCUUUGGUUAGUUCUGUGCAGCAUGUGAGGAAUAUCACCGAUGUCACACAAAACUCUUCUAGAAGGUAGAGCAGGAGGAAACUCUUCCUAACUCAGCUUAUGGCGUCAGCACGCCUCUGCUAUCAAGACCCGAAAAGAACAUUACAAGAAACAAAAUAUUAGCAAAUUGAAUCUGCUAAUAUCUGAAAGGAUAAUGCAUGAUGACCAAGUGGCGUUUGUCCCAGGAAUGUUAGAUUAUUAUAACAUCCCUCCUAACACUUAGACACAGACCCUCCUGUGGUUGAAGCUUGAUUCAGUGUGUCCUUCACAGGGUGUUGGACCUGGGAUUGGAGACCUACUGGGUCAGGACCUGCAUCCACAAGUCUUUGACUGAAGAAGGUAGGGGAGGAAGCUAGAGUCCUGUUAUGGGAAACCAACUGCCCUUAGGGACAGCUGUGAAAUAAGAUCAGCUUUUGGAGUCAUUUACCCUAAUUUUUGAGAGUGAUGAAAUGAAGUUUUCAAAUACCUGAUCUCUUGAAUGUUCGCAACUUCUGCUCUUCCUAGAUAUGCGUUGGUCUAGUUCAUUAUUUUAGAGAAAUGUGACCAUUCCAUUUAUCAACUUGUUUCUAGUUCCUUCCAGUGAGGUUUCUCCCAUUUCCUUGACCUGAGCUCCACUUUCCUAUGGGCUCCAAGGCCGACUGCUACUUGGUAGGAUGGAGCCAUCCUCUCUGAGACACAGCCCAGAAGGGAAAUUUCAGCGAUCCAGAUGAAAGACCGUUUGACACUACCGAAAGCGGGGAAGUGGAGCAUUUUACAAGCAUUACUAAGGCUUUCUUGUUGUGAUUCCAGCUUCUCUGCCUCUCCUGUUUCACCCUGGGAUUGAGCGGAGUGGAUUGUGACUGUGACACUGGGGAGAAACUACAGGGAUGUGCUCUAGACCACUGAGCCUCUCGUCUGGGAAAGAAAAUAGCAGCAAUACUAGACGGACUAUUUGGAAACAGUUACUGAAUUAUUUCAGCUAAGGAUCAUCUGGGUCGAUGCCAAAUGGACUGGAGUUCUGAUUAUCAUGAAUAGAACUAUGGGCUGAAUUCCAGCAUGAGAAGAAAUGAGGUUGUUUUGGAAAAAAACAUAACUUGGUAACUAAAAUGCAAGCAAAAUAUGCUGUUUUUGCUACACAAGAGGGUUUGCCCAGAAUAUUAAUUUUUUUAAGUUCUUCUUCAUAUAAUAAACAUUGAUAUUUAUUUUGAAUGAUAUGGAUAAC
rnacentral:lncRNA from 1 species